rnacentral:lncRNA from 10 species
UGCAGUUUGAUCUCUGACUGCUGUGCUAGCAAUCAGUGAGACUCCCUGGGCAUAGGACCCUCCGAGCCAGGUGGGGGUUAUAAUCUCGUGGUGCGCCGUUUUUUAAGCCCGUCGGAAAAGCGCAGUAUUCCGGUUGGAGUGACCCGAUUUCCAGGUGCUGUCCGUCACCCCUUUCUUUGACUGGGAAAGGGAACUCCCUGACCCCUUGCCCUUCCCAAGUGAGGCAGUGCCUCGCCCUGCUUCGGCUCGCGCACGGUGCACGCACUCACUGACCUGCGCCCACUGUCUGGCACUCCCUAGUGAGAUGAACCCGGUACCUCAGAUGGAAAUGCAGAAAUCACCCGUCUUCUGCGUCGCUCAAGCUGGGAGCUGUAGACCGGAGCUGUUCCUACUCGGCCAUCUUGGCUCCUCCCCGCCAAGCCUGUCAGUCAGAAUUCCAUUGCAUGCCUGUUCUUGAACAACCAUGGUCAAGGAGACAAGAUUCCUGAUGACUGACUCACACUAAUCAAAACUCAGCCACUGGUCCUAGCAAACUUCAUGAGAUGAGAGUGGAGAGUGUCCCAUCUCAUCUUAAGCAUAUGACUGUCCCAUACCCAUACAAAAUCAGGUUCUUUGCACAAAGAACAAUAGAGGUGAAUGACCAAUGAGUAAUCAAAGAGAGAGUUUUUCAGAAUAUGACUGCAUUUGGAAAUAGGGACUUUAAAGAGGUGAUUAAGUUACAAUGAGGCCACUAGAGAAGACAAUUAUCCAUUUGGACUGAUGUGCUUAGAAGAAGAGCAUAUUGGUAAAAAGAGACACCAGAGGUACAACAGCACAGAGAAAGACCAUGUGAGGACAUAGUGAGAAGAUGGCCAUCCCAUCUGCAAGCCAAGGACAGAGGCCUCAGGAGAAACCAACCCUGAUGACACCUUGAUCUUGGACUUCACAGCCUCCAGAACUAACAUACUCAAGUGUCUCAGCUCAACAUUUGGAGAUGAGCCAUCCUCCUCUUAUUGUAAGAAAAGCUUGAAGGAGUAUUUUCACAGCGAUGGAACUGGAAGUUAAGGCAACUUCUAUCAGCAUCAAGAAAAGAAAAGAAGUAUUCACCACUUACGAAACAACAUCUCUCUUCUCAUCAAUAGUUUGAUUUACAGCAUCUACUGCAGAAGACCUCAAUAAUGCAUAAGAACAUCUGGAAGUACGGUAAUUUCAGCUAUCAGAGAUAAGAAUUGACACAGAACAGUUUCCUCACUGGAGAAAAUAAGCCUGGUUAUUUUUUGGCCUAUGUUGAAACAUCAUAAGUAGAAUGAAACAGCAUAAUUUUUUCCCCCUGGGGUUCAAGAGUUUAUUUCUUUUGAUACAACAAUAAAUCAACUGACGAAAUGGAAUUUCUUUGCAAUACAUAUGCAACAAGUUAGUUUGCAUGGACAAGUUGAGCUUCAGUUUAUAUAUAGACACUCUGGAACAUUUUAUUAUAAAGCAAUAGUGCUGGAAAGCCACUUAAAGGGGUAACUGCACCAGUAACUAUGAGAAGGAGAUAUAUGAUUAACCUAGUAGAACUUAAAAAGUGAUUUCUGCAGCUUUGAAAUCAUCUACACAUGAACUCAAGCAGCAAUACGUAUUGGCAUCUGGAAAUCUGCAGAUUUGGAUGCACAAACAAUUAGACAUAAGACACAGCAUAAUGAAGUAUUUGUUUUCAUAGAGGAUCAUAGAAAUUCAUAAACAGAGGAUGAAGAAACACAGAAGACAGAGGAAGGAUUUAGUUUUGGGAACAUGUGCUAAUGGCCAUCAAACAAUUCUGAAAUAACUGAAAGAGAACCUUUGAAACACCCUUUAGAUUAAGAGCCUGGCUUGUAAUCUGUAACAACAAACGGUAUUACAAUGAGAAAAAUAAAUGUCCUGUCAAGGCAUUCCUUCAAUGACAUCUUGUCACACAAGUCUAUAUCCAAGGCUGCCCACAAAGUGGAAAAAUGGGGAAAAUAGAGAAUUCAGCUCACUAUGAUUUCUGCAAUAUACAAUUAUGGGAAAUCAUGUUUGGAUUGACACUGCAGACAGAAAUGGCAUGCAUGAUUCCUGUUUGGACAGGAAUAGCUGUUGGGGAGGAAGCCAACCUUGAAUGACACUGAAGAGCAACAUAAUGAAGCAUGAAUUGACAGGCAUCCUUCACGUUGCUUCUGGCUUCCCGUGUAAAAAGCCAUAUCUGAGCGCAGCUCUUAUGGGGCCAGAUCCAGGGGAGGAGAAAGGAAGUGAGGCCCAGAAAAAAUACAUUGUCAUGGAGGAGUGAAACUGAAGACAAAACAAAAAGGACUUUCCACAACUAGGCCCCUGGCUUACACUGCAAUGGAAGAAGAGGAGCAGAAAUACUGCCAAAGAUCCUUAUGAUGGCAUUGCAUUUUAGACUGCUUUUCAACUGAUUAUGACAGUAUCAACAAAAGAAACUUUCAUUUGAGGUAUGCAAAGAAGCAAUAUUAAUCCAAUAGCAUGUUAAACUAUUGGUUCAUGUGUUUUCACUUAAUUAUAUUUUGUUGUGAUCUAUAUGUUUAUAUAAUAUGAGUGAUUUUAUACAAAAUAUUCUUAUUAAACUCCUUAUUGCUUAUUUCAUAUUGCUUAAGAUAUUACACAUUAUAUUAUACAAUGUAGUCUUUAUGAGGUCUCUGAGAAAUUCCAGUUUGAACUUGUGGUAAAAUAGAGUGGUGGUUUUCAGCCUAAAAAAAAAAAAUUGGUAAA